UAUAAAAAUCACUGUUGUGUCAGCGAUUUCUUCAAAAAAAAAGAAAUUCCUUAAAAUCGCUGCUAUGAAAACGAUUUGUCAAAAAAAAAUUUAUAGAGCAGCCCUGCUUCUAUUAUUGGCUUGCUGCAAAGAGAAGAAGAUCAAAUUUUUUUAAGGGCAGCGAUUUCCAUUUAACUUUUUUUUUUUGAAAAACGUUAUACGCGAAGCGAUAUUAAAAAAUAAUUUGAUAUACGCGCAGCCCUAGAUCUUUCAUUUUAAAUUCUUAUUUCAAUUUCUUUUCGUUUCUUCAAUUGCUUCGAGCUUCUCUUGUAACGAGCAUGUCAUCGGUAUAGAUAACCAUAAUAACUAUUCAAGUUGAUGCUUUCUCAAUAAACAAUUAAUGAUCAAAUUCACUCUGUUUGAACUAUAUGAUAAUUUCAGAGAUACAAAUUUAUAACUUAUGUUGAUCACCGUAAAAAUUUAGUUCAAAAUCUACCAGCCUCAAGAAUUUCAAAGAUGCUUAUGCCAUUCCUGUCGAGCGUACAUGGGAUAUACCAAGUUAUAUUUCAUAUCCUAAAUUGAUGCCGCCUGGUCCAAAAAGAGCAGCAGAAAGACCCAAACUUGAACGGAGGAAGGGGUUCGCAGAUGUGAAAUUCAAGAAGACAAAAAGCACAUGCAGUAGAUGCCAUUAGGUUGGACACAAUAGGAAGACUUGUUCAAAUUAUCCCGUACAAAAACAAUGAUGUCGUAAUGUUAAAUCUGUGUUUUUGAGGCAUUACAUUGUUAUAAAAUGUUUUUUUAUUGAAUAAUAUUACUUUUCAUAUAAAUGACAUACAUUGU